UAUAUCAUCUCGCUCAUCUUCACCUGCCUUCGUCUUCGAGUCGAUCUUGCCCGUCGGAGCCCGGAGUGGAUGGAGCAGAUGUAGAGAGGUGGCCAGUCUUGUGACCUUGCAAUCAUCCUUACCACCAUUAACUAAAAAAAAAAAAAAAAAUACAAGACCUUUUUAUNNNNNNNNNNNNNNNNNNNNCUCGCUCAUCUUCACCUGCCUUCGUCUUCGAGUCGAUCUUGCCCGUCGGAGCCCGGAGUGGAUGGAGCAGAUGUAGAGAGGUGGCCAGUCUUGUGACCUUGCAAUCAUCCUUACCACCAUUAACUAAAAAAAAAAAAAAAUACAAGCCUUUUUUAUGGUAGAAAGAAAAAUCACACGUAAAAAUCACAUCUUUAAUCGGUUCCCCAAGAAUGAAUAUAAACACAGAAGAGCAGAGCGAAAAA
rnacentral:lncRNA from 1 species